rnacentral:rRNA from 1 species
GCAGCCGCCGCGGGAAUACCGAGGAUGCAAGCGUUAUCCGGAAUGAUUGGGCGUAAAGGGCUCGCAGGCGGUUUCUUAAGUCUGAUGUGAAAGCCCCCGGCUCAACCGGGGAGGGUCAUUGGAAACUGGGAAACUUGAGUGCAGAAGAGGAGAGUGGAAUUCCACGUGUAGCGGUGAAAUGCGUAGAGAUGUGGAGGAACACCAGUGGCGAAUGCGACUCUCUGGUCUGUAACUGACGCUGAGGAGCGAAAGCGUGGGGAGCGAACAGGAUUAGAUACCCGUGUAGUCCCUGUCUCUUAUAC